UACGAAGGGGGCUAGCGUUGCUCGGAAUGACUGGGCGUAAAGGGCGCGUAGGCGGAUGGCUUUGUCGGGCGUGAAAUUCCAGGGCUUAACCUUGGGGCUGCGUUCGAGACGGGUUGUCUUGAGUGGGGAAGAGGGUCGUGGAAUUCCCGGUGUAGCGGUGAAAUGCGCAGAUAUCGGGAGGAACACCAAUGGCGAAGGCAGCUCGCUGGGACGUGACUGACGCUGAGACGCGAAAGCGUGGGGAGCAAACAGG
rnacentral:rRNA from 1 species